rnacentral:rRNA from 1 species
AGAUUGAACGCUGGCGGCAGGCUUAACACAUGCAAGUCGAGCGGUAACAGAGAUAGCUUGCUAUCUGCUGACGAGCGGCGGACGGGUGAGUAAUGCUUGGGAAUAUGCCUUAUGGUGGGGGACAACAGUUGGAAACGACUGCUAAUACCGCAUAACGUCUACGGACUAAAGGAGGGGAUUCUUCGGAACCUUUCGCCAUUUGAUUAGCCCAAGUGAGAUUAGCUAGUAGGUGAGGUAAGAGCUCACCUAGGCGACGAUCUCUAGCUGGUUUGAGAGGAUGAUCAGCCACACUGGGACUGAGACACGGCCCAGACUCCUACGGGAGGCAGCAGUGGGGAAUAUUGCACAAUGGGCGAAAGCCUGAUGCAGCCAUGCCGCGUGUGUGAAGAAGGCCUUCGGGUUGUAAAGCACUUUCAGUUGUGAGGAAAGGGGUGUAGUUAAUAACUGCAUCCUGUGACGUUAACAACAGAAGAAGCACCGGCUAACUUCGUGCCAGCAGCCGCGGUAAUACGAGGGGUGCAAGCGUUAAUCGGAAUUACUGGGCGUAAAGCGUUCGUAGGCGGUUAUUUAAGCAAGAUGUGAAAGCCCAGGGCUCAACCUUGGAACUGCAUUUUGAACUGGGUAACUAGAGUACUGUAGAGGGUGGUGGAAUUUCCAGUGUAGCGGUGAAAUGCGUAGAGAUUGGAAGGAACAUCAGUGGCGAAGGCGGCCACCUGGACAGAUACUGACGCUGAGGAACGAAAGCGUGGGGAGCGAACAGGAUUAGAUACCCUGGUAGUCCACGCCGUAAACGAUGUCAACUAGCCGUUUGUGUCCUUGAGACGUGAGUGGCGCAGCUAACGCACUAAGUUGACCGCCUGGGGAGUACGGCCGCAAGGUUA